rnacentral:ncRNA from 1 species
CUUAUUGAGAGUUUGAUCCUGGCUCAGGAUGAACGCUGGCGGCGUGGAUAAGGCAUGCAAGUCAAACGGAAUAUAUUAAUUUAAUAUGUUUAGUGGCAGACGGGGUAGUAACACGUAGGAACUCACCCAAGAGACGGGCAUAACUAGCCGAAAGGUUAGAUAAUUCCCGAUAGUUCCCGAAAGGGUAAAUCACUUAGAUUGGCUCUGGGAGAGGCCUGCGGGCUAUCAGCUAGUUGGUAGGGUAAAGGCCUACCAAGGCUACGACGGCUAGGGGGAGUGAGAGCUUGGCCCCCACCAAUGGAACUGCGACACGGUCCAUACACCUACGGGUGGCAGCAGCCGAGA